CCAAAUACAUUGAUCGAAUGGCGCCUUCUUCCUCUAUUGCCGCCGAAGCAUCGUGAAAUUCUCCUUCUCCUUCCUCCUGUAAUGCCGUAGGAUCGUGAAUUCAUUCUCCGUCUCCUUCCUCCUGUAAUGCCGUAGGAUCGUGAAUUCAUUCUCCGUCUCCUUCACUGAUUCUUCGACGAGCUGACGAUUCGAGUUGUAAGAAAUCCGCUUCGAGCCGUAGUCCUAGUCCUUUACGAAUUUGGAAAUCAUUGAAACUUAUCAUUCAGACUAGCAUUGUGGAUUGAAAAUCCGAGUCGCAGAGGAUAAUCCAAAAGCCGUGUUUAGUGCACCGAUGAACAAAUGUUCGACGCAUUAAGGCUAUUACAGACAGGAUUAUAGUAAAUAGACAGGAUUGUAUUAAGCACUGUCUUUUUUCUAUGACGGAGAUGUGAUGAUCUUUACUCGAAAUUGACUUCCACAAGUAUACAACGUUCUUCGGAGAUCGUUACGAGCGUUACUUGAGGUGAGUCACUACCCAGAAUGAGCGAGAGUUGACCAGGCUGAGAAUCAUCAUUUAUUAUUGAUGUGACUCGAAAGUUGAAGACUAAAUUAUAAGGAAAUUCACUCGAUGAUUACUCAGUAAGCAGGUAAGUCUUCUAUUCUUGGCUAUAUAAUCUGUUGCAUCCGCUACCAUUUACAUUUCUCGUUAUGAUUAAUCAUCAUUACUCAGUUUUUGUUGGAUGAAAUUUGUUGUUUGCUGU